GACGAACGCUGGCGGCGUGCCUAACACAUGCAAGUCGAGCGAGUGAAUUUCCUUCGGGAUUGAAGCUAGCGGCGGACGGGUGAGUAACACGUGGGCAACCUGCCUCAUAGAGGGGAAUAGCCUUUCGAAAGGAAGAUUAAUACCGCAUAAGAUUGUAGCUUCGCAUGAAGUAGCAAUUAAAGGAGCAAUCCGCUAUGAGAUGGGCCCGCGGCGCAUUAGCUAGUUGGUGAGGUAACGGCUCACCAAGGCGACGAUGCGUAGCCGACCUGAGAGGGUGAUCGGCCACAUGGGGGCUGAGACACGGCCCAGACUCCUACGGGAGGCAGCAGUGGGGAAUAUUGCACAAUGGGGGAAACCCUGAUGCAGCAACGCCGCGUGAGUGAUGACGGCCUUCGGGUUGUAAAGCUCUGUCUUCAGGGACGAUAAUGACGGUACCUGAGGAGGAAGCCACGGCUAACUACGUGCCAGCCGCCGCCGUAACAC
rnacentral:rRNA from 1 species